rnacentral:rRNA from 1 species
UACGUAGGGCGCAAGCGUUAUCCGGAAUUAUUGGGCGUGAAGAGCUCGUAGGCGGUUUGUCGCGUCUGCCGUGAAAGUCCGGGGCUCAACUCCGGAUCUGCGGUGGGUACGGGCAGACUAGAGUGAUGUAGGGGAGACUGGAAUUCCUGGUGUAGCGGUGAAAUGCGCAGAUAUCAGGAGGAACACCGAUGGCGAAGGCAAUGUUCUGGGCCAGUACUGACGCUGAGGAGCGAAAGCGUGGGGAGCAAACAGG